GCGGCGUGCUAAUACAUGCAAGUCGAGCGAAUGGAUUAAGAGCUUGCUCUUAUGAAGUUAGCGGCGGACGGGUGAGUAACACGUGGGUAACCUGCCCAUAAGACUGGGAUAACUCCGGGAAACCGGGGCUAAUACCGGAUAACAUUUUGAACCGCAUGGUUCGAAAUUGAAAGGCGGCUUCGGCUGUCACUUAUGGAUGGACCCGCGUCGCAUUAGCUAGUUGGUGAGGUAACGGCUCACCAAGGCAACGAUGCGUAGCCGACCUGAGAGGGUGAUCGGCCACACUGGGACUGAGACACGGCCCAGACUCCUACGGGAGGCAGCAGUAGGGAAUCUUCCGCAAUGGACGAAAGUCUGACGGAGCAACGCCGCGUGAGUGAUGAAGGCUUUCGGGUCGUAAAACUCUGUUGUUAGGGAAGAACAAGUGCUAGUUGAAUAAGCUGGCACCUUGACGGUACCUAACCAGAAAGCCACGGCUAACUACGUGCCAGCAGCCGCGGUAAUACGUAGGUGGCAAGCGUUAUCCGGAAUUAUUGGGCGUAAAGCGCGCGCAGGUGGUUUCUUAAGUCUGAUGUGAAAGCCCACGGCUCAACCGUGGAGGGUCAUUGGAAACUGGGAGACUUGAGUGCAGAAGAGGAAAGUGGAAUUCCAUGUGUAGCGGUGAAAUGCGUAGAGAUAUGGAGGAACACCAGUGGCGAAGGCGACUUUCUGGUCUGUAACUGACACUGAGGCGCGAAAGCGUGGGGAGCAAACAGGAUUAGA
rnacentral:rRNA from 1 species